AUCGAACGCUGGCGGCAGGCUUAACACAUGCAAGUCGAGCGAGAGGCGGACGGGUGAGUAAUGUCUGGGAAACUGCCUGACGGACGGGUAUAACUACUGGAAACGGUAGCUAAUACCGCAUACCAUCAGAUGUGCCCAGACGGGAUUAGCUAGUCGGGGGGGUAAUGGGGCACCUAGGCGACGAUCCCUAGCUGGUCUGAGAGGAUGACCAGCCACACUGGAACUGAGACACGGUCCAGACUCCUACGGGAGGCAGCAGUGGGGAAUAUUGCACAAUGGGCGCAAGCCUGAUGCAGCCAUGCCGCGUGUGUGAAGAAGGCCUUCGGGUUGUAAAGCACUUUCAGCGAGGAAGCGUUACUCGCAGAAGAAGCACCGGCUAACUCCGUGCCAGCAGCCGCGGUAAUAC
rnacentral:rRNA from 1 species